GCCUGCUGUGUUUUUUAAAUACUUUGCUUAAUUAAAUGAGAAGUGUUCUAUCCCAGAGAGGUGGGGAAAACAAAUAGCCUUUAAUGGAUGUUGUCUAAGGCAUUGACUCAAGGCUUCCUCUAAAGUUGAAUGAAUGUUUUCUCCCCUAAUUUUCUACUUCCCAAGUUCCAAGAAUCAAGUUAUGAAUGCACUGAUGGGCUUGGGAAAUGAUUUGUCAGCACGUGAAAAUGAGGGCUUAGGUUUCUUGUGUAACAUCUUGGCUAACAAAGCGAGUUGGUGCCUCAUGAACUUUAGAGCCCUUGCUGGGAGUGGCAAUGUGAUGAGUGAAGCAAAGCAAUCUUCCAGGAGCAUUUCAGGUCAGUGAUGGCAGAAAACAGUUGUCUUCUCAGGCAAACAAACCUAGUUUUAGUUGCGUCUGUUUUCAGUAGAAUCUAUGCAGAUUGAGUGGUAGAAAUGUUCACUUCCAUCAAAAAUAGGGACUCCUGGAAGGAAAAUUUGACACAUGCUGCAACACAGAUAAGCUUGAGGAUAUGCCGAGAUAAGUGAAUCACAAAAAGACAAAUACUGUAUGAUUCCACGUAUACAAAGUGCCUAGAGCAGUCAAAUUCAUGGAGACAGAAAGUAGAACCAUGACUGCCAGGGGCUGUGGGAGAGGAGAAUGGGGAGUUAUUAUUUAAUGGGUACAGGGUUUCGCUUUUGCGAGAUGAAAGAGAUCUGGACAUUGGUUGAACAUCAGUAUGAGUAUACUCUUUUUUUUUUUUUUUAAGACCACAUCUGCAGCAUAUGCAAGUUCCCAGGCUAGGGGUCAAGUUGGAGCUAUAGCUGCAGGCUUACGCCACAGCCACGGUAGCUCAGGAUCUGAGGUGCAUCUGCGACCGACACCACAGCCCACGGCAACACCGGAUUCCUGACCCACUGAGCAAGGCCAGGGAUCAAACCCACGUCUUCAUGGAUACUAGUCAGAUUUCCACUGUGCCACAGUGGGAUCUCCAAUAUGAAUAUACUUAAUACCACUGAAAUGUAUACUUAAAAAUGGUUAGGAUGGUAAAAUAUAUGUUAUUAGUAUUGGACCACAAUUUAAGGAAGGGUGAAUUUUAUGAUAUGCAGAUUAUAUGUCAAUUUAAAAAUAAGUUAUAUGAGAAAAA
ensembl:lncRNA